AAACUUUCAACAACGGAUCUCUUGGCUCUGGCAUCGAUGAAGAACGCAGCGAAACGCGAUAAGUAAUGUGAAUUGCAGAAUCCAGUGAAUCAUCGAAUCUUUGAACGCACAUUGCGCCCGCCAGCAUUCUGGCGAGCAUGCCUGUUCGAGCGUCAUUUC
rnacentral:rRNA from 1 species